GAUGAACGCUGGCGGCGUGCCUAAUACAUGCAAGUCGAGCGAACAGACGAGGAGCUUGCUCCUCUGACGUUAGCGGCGGACGGGUGAGUAACACGUGGAUAACCUACCUAUAAGACUGGGAUAACUUCGGGAAACCGGAGCUAAUACCGGAUAAUAUAUUGAACCGCAUGGUUCAAUAGUGAAAGACGGUUUUGCUGUCACUUAUAGAUGGAUCCGCGCCGCAUUAGCUAGUUGGUAAGGUAACGGCUUACCAAGGCAACGAUGCGUAGCCGACCUGAGAGGGUGAUCGGCCACACUGGAGCUGGGACACGGUCCAGACUCCUACGGGAGGGAGCAGUAGGGAAUCUUCCGCAGUAGGCGAAAGCCUGACGGAGCAACGCCGCGUGAGUGAUGAAGGUCUUCGGAUCGUGAAACUCUGUUAUUAGGGAAGAACAAAUGUGUAAGUAACUAUGCACGUCUUGACGGUACCUAAUCAGAAAGCCACGGCUAACUACGUG
rnacentral:rRNA from 1 species